rnacentral:lncRNA from 1 species
GAAUAAGAACAUAGACCGGCUUCUAGAAAAAGAGACGUGCCCUCUUCUCUAUCUGUAGAUUCAGCAGCAACAUGCUGGUUCCUUUUGUCAUAAUACCUAACGGCUGUGGGCAGAAUGAAUGAAAAAGCAGAUGAAAGACACUAUACAUACCAAUAGAAUGAGAAAUAUAUAAUAAAGCUAGGUGACGUCACGGCAUUUGAGAACCAAUUGCUUCUUUUGCUUUUCACCAACCUUCAUGUACAAUCUUAUUUCGUAUUGGAGUACGGCCUAUCGUAGGCCCAGCAAAGGCAAGACGGAAAGCAAGCAUUAAGUGAAGAAGCAAGGUCCAAACAAAGUAGUGAAAGAUUGACAUUGAAAAGCUUCUCCAUGUCUAUAUCUGUCCGAUGGACCAAGUUCAAAGGAAACGGCUUCUGUACUGCAUCAAAAAACCAAUCCAAGCCUGGAAAGGAGAGUUGCGGUUAACGAUUCCUAUAAAUUGAGAAAGAAGCAUGUUAUUCAUGCCCAAGGAUAACGUAGAUGGAACCAGUUCUCUAACCUUCUUUUUGUAGCAGAUACUGCAUAAAGUUUACCUGCCUUGUAAGGCUUUUGUAGGAUUAAUCAAAUUUUCUUUUUAUCGUUCUAUCUCAGAGUAUCCAUUCAAUCGAUCUAGCUAUCCGCUCUCAAUUGAAUCCCUUCUCUGUUGUCGACAGGUGUGUCCGCAUCAGGACCAGAAUCACGGUCUAGUACCUCCGUACUCGAAUACCUCCUACUUUAUUAAUUAGGAAGUGAAGUAGGGAAGUGUUUCCUAUUCAAAGUACAGUGCCUUUGGUACAUUGGUGCAUUGGGGAUUUCCAGGUAGCAAGUCGGUUGAGUGAGGGCUCCAUCCAUAACAGAUAUAGCUAGCACACAGGAUCUCCCUUCUGCGAACAAAAGGACAAAAGAGCCGGGUCGGGCGUUGAUUCGCCGUUGCUAUCAGUCGGUCUACUCAUGCCUGCUGCUUACUUUCUCGAUCGUUUAUUAUUCUCGAAUAGAAGAUGAUAAGAUGCAUACCCCCUCCUCAUUAACUAUGUUACUUAUUUCCUCACAGCCUCUUGAUGCAAAAAACCUAUUCUUUCAAGGAAAAGACCUUUAUAAUUCAGUGUAGUUUUUCACUGACUAUUCUAGUGUAGUUUGACUCAAGUAUACGUUUUCUGAAGUCUCAGAUUGCAUGCAUUUCUUAAACAGUAUUGCACACUACUAACUAAAAAACUAGUACUUUACUGACAGGAAGUUAAUAAGUAUAUAAUAUGCAAACAAUCCCUCGCUUGGUAGUUUCCUUUCUUUCCUACCACGCAAUCAAUCUCUUGCUUACUUAAAACUCUAGUUUUGUCGGACAACCUUGCUUCUUUCUUAUAGCAAAGUGCUGAAUCCAUAAGCUUUCGUCGGAGCCUGCCACCAAUCAGUCUAAAUUAGUUACUUAAUUCCUUAACUACCUAGCUUGCAGAGAAUAAAGUAGGCUUUGGCUGAGAUACGUAAAGGAGGAAUAGUCAACUAUACUCCGAAUGUGCUUUGAGAAGACAGAUAUGUAGGUUGCUAGGAAGGAGGUAAGCGCUUGUCUUUCUGAUGUCAAGAAGUAAGAAGAGGUAAAACUCCUAAAAAACAACUUGAUCUAUGUUGAAAGUUUAUGUCAGCAAGCAAAGAGAUUGCCUAGGGCGAAAGAAAAUAAAAAAGAUAAUAAGAAAAUAAGUGUUUCAAGCCUAAGCAAAAGAUAGAAUGUUGUAUUGCCAUAACCUAUGUACUUAAGCGAACUAGCGAAGAAAGGCGAAGAAUGGCUUUGUUCAAGCCCAAGUCAAAAUCUAUCUCUGAUAAAGCAUUCAAUCUUUCAUCUUUAUAUUCAUUAUCUGCAAGUUUCGAGUCCUUCUUUGACUUUCUCCUUCCGGCACUUUUUAGUCAUAGUAAAGAUGUGCUGUAAGGAUCAAGAGUGUACCUUAUUUGUUUUAAAUUCUGCUUCGCUUUCAUCAGCCUUAUUAUGGGUUUGCCUGAGGGCUACCUUAUAUUCGAUAUACUCCCCUCCCUUUAAUAUUAUUCUAUUUAAUGCAAGAGUAAGGAUAGACGUCUUAUUCUUCAGUGUUGAGAUAGAAUGACUGUAGACCCUCUUCUCUCUUUUAGUUAGCCUUACUUAUUCCAAUUCCUAAUCUAUACCAUAAAGCAAAGCCCUUUUUGCGCAAGGUUCUCUCCUACGUAUACAAUUCUCACUGAUGGGAGUAAUAUGCCAGUAACUAUAGAAGACUUUAUUAUUAUUCUAAAUAGGCGGCAAUAGGUCCAUCGAGAUAAAGUAUGACUAAUAAGUAGUAAUAUAGCUAGUUGCUAUACAUAGACUUGAAGUCAGGGCUUACUCAUCCUAAUCUUCUCUUUACUACUUAGUUAAGUUUAGUUAAGUUAUAGGAUCAGAACGAGAUUUUCUUUGAUUGCCGUUAUAGGAAGUGAGCAAGCAAGCUAGACACGAAAACUCAGGAUAGACGCGCUGCUCUUCUAGCUUUGGUUGGAAAUAGAAAAGCAUGUUAUAGGGCCCAUGCUGCAUUCCCUCAAAUAGCAGUCUUUUUUUAUGUCUAAAGAAAAGUUGCCUAUUAAUAAGCAGUCUUCCCUCUUUCAUAAGGCUCUAACUUGCGUAAGGAAUCAAGGAGCUACAGGAGUAUACCGCCGAGUACUUACUAUCUUGGAUAGCUUUUUGCCUUGCAAAGAGCAUAGAUUCAACUUCAAUAUAUGUAGCUAACUCUCUAUUGCUUUAUUGCAAUCCGCUCCGCGCCACUUACUCGGGACUAUAUAGUUCUGUCUUUAGACUUAUACUCUUCCUUCUCUCGUUUACUCAGACAGAUGAGACUUUCCUUCUGCUUGGCCGCCUACUGUUCUAGCUCUCCGAUGUUCCUUGCCCGUAAACUACUACUGCACUUCACUUUCCUGUCUAAAUGUAACCUACCUAUGUCUACCACUUCCCUGGUCGACUUCUUUUGUUUCUGGUACUCUUUUAUUGCCGUUUGAAACUGCUAAUUCCACCAUUCGUCCCGUCAUCCCUUAGUGUGUCGUUAAUGUGUAUAUAUGAAAACCUAUGGGCUAAAGUAAUGCCACCCAAGGAAGAGAUUCCACUCCCAAUGGUAUCGAACAGGCUUCUAUGAUGGACUGAACAGAACUUUGAGGAAACUACCUAAGAAAAUGAAAAAUCAAAAAGAAAAAAUGAAAAACUUUACGUUGCCGGUUUAGCAAAACUUAGGGAGAAGACAGCGGAGGAAAUUAGGUGAAGUACUCCAGAUACAAAGUACGGAAAAGUAUCUAGAACUUCUCCCCCUGGCCCUACUCCCCAACCUAGAGUAGCUAAGUGUGGAAGUAAAAUAAAGCCUUGUUCAUACAUGGACUUUUCUGGUACGAAAUGGGCCACUUCAAAUAGGUUCAUUGCUCCGGCCCAGAAUACGAUUAAUCCGGCAUGGGCUACGUGAGCUCCAAGUAGUUUACCGGAAAAAUUGAUAAGUCUGGCAUUCCCAGCCCACCAAGUAAAGCCGGUGGUUUCUUGGUCACGACCAGCUAAAACGAAAGUUCCAUUAAAGAGCGUUUCCACGUGGUAGAACCUGCUAAGGGAAUAUAAUAUUUUCAUGAGGCUGAUCCUGAGCUGCCAUCCACGCACGAAUACCCUCGUUUAAAAAAUCUUUUUUGUGUAGAAAGUCUAAAAUGCAGGAUCUUUCGCUGCACGGAUUUCCUGGGAAACGAAGUCAUAGGCACGUAGGUUCAGAGCCAGGCCAACUACGCCAAUAGCACUCAUCCAUAAACCGGUGACGGGUACAAAUAGCAUAAAGAAAUGUAGCCAACGUUUAUUAAAAAAAACAACACCAAAGAUUUGGGACCAAAAGCGGUUAGCAGUGACCAUUGAAUAAGUUUCUUCAGCUUGAGUUGGGUUAAACGGAAGGCACUAAAAAGAAAGAAACAACCUUGACUUAUUCCUAUCUUCGGUAGACUGAACAAAAAAAAUAUCGAUUCGAAACCACUGUGACACAAAACACCUCUCUUCCGGGUCAAAAGAUAUGAAACCCAGCUCUUUUUUUCAGUUAUUUAUUUCAUUUUUAUAUGCUAUUUCUGAGUGAACUCCAAAUUGGUUCAUAGAGAUAAUACUUGGAAAAGGAAGCUCUGCUAAAAGCAAAAUCGCAAAUAAGUUCAAACAUCAAAGGUACCUGUCUACAUCUACCUACCCGAAGCUACUAAAACAUCAUCAAGACUUGAAAGCGAGGAGAUACCAAGUAAUGUGACAUGUCGAUACAGACAAGAAAGCGCCAUCCAUCCCUCGAACUGAGUGAGGUGACAAACAAGAGGGUCUGGUAUUGGAUCCACAAAAGUUCCUACGAUAAUGAAUGGGGUCGGUUUAGUAGAUCUACAACCUCACAUUUUGCUAUAUUUCACUUGGGCGAAAUGAGGCUGCUUUCGCAAAAGAUACGCAGCGUAAUGCCUUAUCCAAAUGGUAUUCCUUGUCGAAACCCCGACUGGGGAGAAGCUAAAAUGCUAACUAUCACUAUUUUUCCUACAAUCUCUUGAAUUGAAAAACAAACUAAGGGAAAUUGGGUCAGGCUGAAAGAAAGAGGGGAGAAAGUCACGCUCAGCAUGGGCAACCUAUAAUACGUUUUCUCCAUGUGAAAGAGCUCAAUGAAGAGGCCACGGGACGAGCCCAUUCCUGACGAGUGAUUUAGAAAGGAGUGAACGAACUACAGAAUGUAGCGAGCCGCCCGCGCCUUGGUGACCUAACCACUUGAAAAGCAACAAUCUUUUAUUUUACUUAGUCACAAGACGAGUAAGUACCAUUCGAAACAAGGUACCAUUCGAAACCAGAGCCGCCUGCACUUCUUAGCUUGUUCCGCCGCAGAAAAGGCUACUCUACCUACGCACCCAUGCAAAGAAGCAGAAAAGGCUACUGUCCCAUGCAAAGAAAUAUAUAUCGAUAUCGGCAAUACUUCAAGAACUCAACAUACAUGCGCCAUAGUGCCAAUGAUCUCCUUUACCAACUGUUUUGCCCGUUGCUAGUGUUAAGCUUCCACAUUCACUCCCAGGCCGCUGAUGAGACCGUCACUUUGCUAUUCAAUUACCUAGAAAGAAGGCGCGUGCGUCAAUGUUUUGAUUGAGUGAAUGAUCCAUCAAUAAGAUCAAGCUGGAAGGUCUGUCUUGAGUUCAGUUUCUGUCAACGAUGAAAGAAAGUAAAUGAAGUCUAUUCUCAAAUCAAGUCAACAAGUCAAUAUGUAUGUGUCUCUAUUCUAAGAAAGAGAAGAAGGCACCACCACCGAGAACUGACUCCACAACCGAGAAGCGUGUCAGCCUUCCUUAUUCAAUCAACUCUAAUUUAGUACAAGUACGAUCAAGAAAAGUAAGAAGUUGAACCAGAGUCACUAUUAUUAUUAGUAGUAUAGUCAGUUGUAUAUGUACCUGCACGAAUCUUUCAAGUAAGUCAUUAGCCAUAAAGUCCAAAUAGAGUAAGGAGUAAGUGCAUCGACGUCUAAGGGUGUAGAUCAGGACUCAUUGAUUUCAGAUUCCGCUUUGAAGAAGAGAUUCUUGUUCAAUAUGGUUGUUUUUGGCUGAGUGUUGAAGAAGCUACGAGUUUGCAAACAAGAAGGUAGAAAGCGGAAGUAUGAUCAAGACAAAGUGGUAAGGAUUGGGUUGACCUUGCCUUAAGCCUCCCGAGUAGCCCUUCAGUUCCCAGGUAGUGUAGAAAAAGAAGACAGUUCCCAGGUGGUGUAGAAAAAGAAGAAGCCAUUGGACUACCUUCUCAGGAAAACCAGUGGCAGAUCACUUGAAAACAAUCACAGCGAACCCUCCCUCUAACGAUCUACUUUGAAUCACGAAUUAGCGUAUGAAAAGCGGCGAUCUUUCUCUAUUUCUUCCUCUUCCACCAAAACAAACAAGUUGUUUUCGGGCGCAUGCUUCCCCUUCUCAGUCUCUUUCGCACUGUUUGUUCACUCUGAUCUGAGCCCUCAUCCCUGGAUGUCAGUAGCUGUUUCUUCUUCGACGAGCUCGACUCAGAUAUAUCUUCCGCCCGGGUGGCACAAGCAAAGAGAGAUUGCGCUAGUGACACGAGGGUAAAACGCUCGAGUUGGCUUGCUGACUCGAGGAGGGAAAGGCUCCAUUUGCUUUAGUGAAUGGAGGAAGAAACAACCAUAGUAACUAUCUAUGAAAUUGAUUGAUGGAUAUGAGAGUGGUGCAAGACCGGGACAGAGGAACCAUAGGAAUGUUAUGUCAGGUUCCUUGCUCACUUCUCAAGCCCAAUAUCAUUCCUCCAACUCGGACUUUCAUGCUAUAAUUAAGAACCCCCCUAAACAAUGACAACGUACCGAGCGGGCCCUACGUCUAUCGGGGAGCUCAAAUCCUCACUAGAGUGAGGCACGUCUCGAUCAAUACAUCUCGAAUCUAAAGAGAGAAUGUUAUUGUUAUGCUGUCCCCACUCUGGAGUAUGAUUGACCAUAUCAUCCAGCGAGUGGUCUUAAGCGCUCAGUGCAUCCAUACUGAACUCGAAUGUGCGCGCUUCGGAAGAGAAAGUAAUGCGAACUACUAACUGUUAUGCCGGCUUGGCCCGAUCAAGACUUCUAUCCCUCAGAAACUGUCUCGCGUCUUAUCCGUGUGCGCGGUUGAGGAAAUUGGACUUCGUAUUCUUCCUGGGUCUGGCUCGUGGGCCGACGUCGUCUUGUGUUGUAAUCGGGGCACGAGUAUUCGAAGUAGAAGCGCUAACAUUCCCCCUUCCUUGAGAAAGCGCUUGACCCCAAGCCGGUGCAUAAGGAAAACGAGUCUUCAGGUCGAUGAGGUCCUCCCAAGUAUUGUCCAGUGCCAUCGACUCGGACCAGCGAAUCAAGCCUUGUUCCAGGACUUGAUCUCCGUUUAUUACUUAUACCAAUGACUCACCAAAACUUGCAUAGGGACAGAGGGAUUGUCAGUCUCAGAUGGUAAACGAGAGGAUACCUGAGACAGUGGGCGGGGGAACAACACGUCGAAGCUUAGAGACGUGAAAAAUACAGGGUGCACUUGAGAAGUUGAAGGUAGCUCCCGGUGUUAAUAUGGAACAGCACCAACACGUGCUAGAAUCUUGUAAGGCCCAAAGUAUCGGAAGGAAGGGUUGUGGCAUUCUUCCCCUAAAAGGUGCACAUCCAUCGAUUCCCUCAUCUAGUGUAGUGCUCUGUUCAGAGACCAAGGAAGCUAUUAGUUUGAGUUCCUGAUUUCCCUGUUGCCGACUAGAUUGCUUACCGACUUUCAUGAUGGAAGAAGAUACCGACUUGAGGGAAGGAAGUACAGAGCAGCAGCCUAGGGAUAAGCAGGAAUUCAGGUUAGCUUUUCUGUUUUCCGAAUCUUACCCACCUGAGAGUCCUAGUCUCGAAAGGGCGCCUUGGCCAUCCAGCCUUAUCGCAGAAUCGAUCCAAAACUACAAGCAAGGGAAUCAACUCUUAUUGCCGUAAAGGAAAAAUAACCCCUUUCCUUUAUAUAUAUAUACAAGGAACAAGUAGCCUUCGCCACCUAUUCCUGAAUUAAGGGAACGCGAGAAAGAUUUCUCUAUGUCAAUUCAAAACAAAACAAACGGACGACUGAAUCUAAAGUCUACUAGAGAGAAGAUUGGCUCGAACGUAAACUACUGAUUGCUCUAUCCAACCAGCACAUACCGUUUGCUAUGAUAUUGUUUUUCUCAUAUUGUUUUAUUGCCCGGGCAUUGCUGCGGAAGAGUGAAAUGAAAAACUCUUCUUGAAGAAGAGGACUCUUCUGCUUGAUCUUUUGAUACGGUGAGGGAACAGGUUUGAUGCGUUCUUUGAGCAAAUGGGGAAACAAACUGCUGAUACAGAAAUCUUUCACUUUUACUGCCGAAGGCACAAGAGAGACUAUAGCUAGGAAGGAUAAGCAAAGGAAUCCAGAUUCAAUCGAUUGUUUGAAGCCAAGGUCUCGAGCUAGUCCAUCUUUCUAUACGAAUUUCUUUAAAGAAUACUUCUCUUAUGAUCUACUAUGAGAGUGUCAAGCGGCGAUGGAAGUUGAGUAACUGUCUUGGAAAUAGGUAAGUCGGGCACAUAUUCUAGUUCCGAUUCUAGGCUAUCUAUAGAAGAAUGGAGUGUUAUAAAUUCUACUAUUUAAGCUGUUGGUGCAGAGGUAAGCAAGUCAGUCUCGGGUGGGAAGUCAGCACUAUCAACUCAGGCGGGUCUUCAGUCCAAAGAAAAAGAAAGCAGUGGUCUGUACUUGAAAAUAGGACUCUACUUUUUGAUUGAAAUAGGACUGUACUAGCAUCUGCAAAAGGCAAAGCAUGACCUAUCGUGUAGUACUUCGGGUGUCGAUCCACAGGGAAAAAAUGGGAGAACUGGUUGGUUUGCACAAGUUCAAAUAUCUUGGCCUAACCUAAUUUGUAGAAACCUGCGGCCUAAAUUAAAGACUAAUUCUAAACUAAAGAAAAUAGAAAUCGCCUAAGGCGCGUGCGGCCAAGGUCUUCCAUAGGAGCUCGAAGGAAGAGGUUCUGAAUAACUAUACAAUUUAUAAGAUGCAGUGGAUUAGCUAGACAUUGAAAAGCUGCCACUCUGAGGGAAUUUGUUUGCAUAAGCUACAGGUGCUAUAAAGCAAUCAUGUACUGAGUACAAAGCUAUUCCAUUAUAGUGAGCAGUAUCAAAUACGUAACAAGCAAUAGAAGCAUCCUGGCAGGUGUAUAGAACUAGCAAAGUGGUUUAGGAAAGGGCAUAUGAAUAGGCAGUUUGGCAAGUGAGUAGUUUAGGUCCUUUAGACCAAAGAAAAGGCCGGGAGCAUUUAGGUAGGCCUAUCACUCAACCGGCGGCAGCCGAUCGACUUAUACUAACCGCGUUGGCAGAGCUACUCAAUGACUCAUUAGAUCCACGAAUUUCCCCAUCUGCGCAGGGCUUCCGCAAGGUUCUCGGCCCUUCUUCCGUGCAUUAACUCAAUGGUCGUCUAUGGAUUAUAUGGUUCAGGUGGACGUGGUCAAGUGUUUCGAUAGCAUAGACCAUCGGUUACUACUUGAACAUUUGUCUAAGCUCUUAGGUACAGAUAACGCUCCUCUCAUUGACCUCAUCAAUUGCUUUCUCAAGACACCGAUACUUUCUAAGAAAGGGAAUGACUACUCAAACAGUGAAGUCGGCCUUCCACAAGGAUCACCGAUCUCGCCUGUUUUGAUUCAAUCAUUCCUGCAUCAACUCGACUUGCAAUUCGAUGCUAUGGCCCAAGAGGAGAAUGGGGAUUCUACCAAGUACGUCUAUUUCGCUCGCUACGCAGACGAUAUACUAUUCGGCAUUCCUAUCGUAGGUGUUGGCGUCAUGUCUAAAGUCUUCUUUCGAAGCCUGCAAGAAGUUCUUGACCGUAUGUCCAGUAAGCUACGCUUGAAAUUAACGUCUAUUGUACUGCAACGAUGGAGGGCUCCCGCAGUCGAGGAGGGCAAAGAUAGGUUUGCAAACCAGAUUAUUGGCUGUUACAUUCAGACACAUGAAAUGCUAGAUGUUAUAUGCAGCAAGGUCAAAACUGGGCUUUUAUUUGUCCCUAUAGAAAGAUUAUUCACCAAGCGCCAGGAAAGCUUUAGCUUUGCCAUAGAGUGACAGUCGGGGGGGAGCAGGAGAGAGGGAAAGAGGCAAAUGAGAAAGAAGAAGGAGCAGGGUCGAGUGAAAGAAUUGGUACAUUGGGUUCCCCCCACCGAGCGGAGCCAAAGGAAAGACAAGGGUUGAGGUAAUCGCUAUGAGUGUUCAGGCUAUUCCGCUUAUGCUCGCGGAUGCGGAUAAGAAGCUAUCAAAAGGGGAUGAUAGCAGCCACCCAUAUGGGCAGCUAGAAAGAGAACGAGGAAAUGUGAAUCACGAUCCUUAUUCGAUAGAGGAGUCGGGGGACAUUGGUUCGAAUCCAAUUCGUGAAUAUCAGAAAGCAUUGUUUCUCAUUGAACUAUAUACGAUACGCGCGCACGAGGAAGGGAGAAAUUGAUUGCGUUGCAGUCAUUUUCCAUCAGAUUUUUACGGAUGUAGUGCAAAGUAAAUGUUUCAGUCAAAAGUAAGCUGCCGACUAUGAUGAAUGCCAGCCCGAUCUGUAGCUGAUCUUUGAUCCCGAGCUUGAGCUUCUCUUUGAUGUCGGGUGAAUUGAAUUUCAUAUAUGGAGAAAUGUGUCGCUAGUCCAAGUCCGCUAUAGAAUUGUUUGUCUAUCACUUCGGCAACGAAGGUCAUUUCUUUAGAAGAUCGAUACUGGUAGUUGCUUGCGGUGUCUGAACAAGUUUCGAAAAAACUACUGUGUCUGCAUUUUCCUGAAGAUUGCUGUGAGGCUGAUAGUGAUAUCUUUCCAAUAACUGACUCAGCAGGUUCAAUUGAGGUAUCAUUCGAUUGAUAUUUCGAACCGUGUAGUGGUUAGGAUCCUCUUAUUGCCGUCAAGGGCUAUUUUGGUCGAUUCCAGCCAGAGAGUUAUGAAUAGAAAUAGCAGACCUGAUUCGAGACAACAGGAAGUUCCCGUUUGCAGAUCUACAUUUCUCAGGUUCAGGCUAUUCGUGGAGUCGAUCACCACCACUUGAGAUAGACGAUCAACUUCAUUAAAGAAGCAGUCAUCUCUAUACAGGAAGCAGCAUGUUUUCUAUGGUCCUAUGAAAAGGUUCCAGUGGGUUUCUCUUGCUGAAUGGUGGUAAAACACCAGCUUUCAUUCCUCACUGCAAGCUACUCCUUUUGCUGCUUUUUCUCACUCUUUGCCUGGGCCAACGAUAGAUUAGUCUCUGGGUCGGUCAAGUGAUAAAUUGGCGAGAUUAGUUAAGGAAACUGGGACUUCUGAUUGUUCGCGAGGGAUGGCUGAAUAACCUACUUUGCUUUCCAUUUAGGGUAAUAGGAUGCCACUACUUGACCUUGCUUGCCCAGACACAAGAUAACCUAUAGUUUGGGUACUGCCCUUCGUGGUGCUUGCUUUCCUAUAAUCUGUAAAGCUUUAGCUUUCAGAGAAGAGAUUUCAGUAUCCGAUUGCUUUUCUGACUGGAAUUCUCUAGUUCACUUCACUUCUACGCAAUGUCAUUUCUUGAUUCAAAGUACUUAUUUUCUGAUUGGAAUUUCGAUCUCUUGGCAACAGGUUUCGCUUCUGCUGAGGACAAAUUGAACAAGCUACUUCUCAAACCAAGUCCGGGUGGGCUUUUGAAUUCAGAGAAGGGAAUUCCAGUUCUGAUUCUAGUCUCUGUGCUCUGUUCAGUUCAGUUCAAGAUGGGAAAGUAUUGCUUGUUUCCUAGAAUCCUAAAAGGGGUGCUUGUUUUCCUCGUCCGGGCUCUCCUCUCCCCUUUCUGUCCCAACCUUCAUUCCUGCUUUUCCGCCAAUUCACUAAUUUCAAUAGUUCAGAUCCAGCACUUAUAUCCCUUUUAUAUAUAUAUAGAAUCAGGUAUCUGCUUUCCAUGGUUCCUGAUUUCGGUAUCUGAAUCUUCCUGAAUUCAAGUAGAGAAUACCAGGGCUUUCUUCUUCUUUGAUUUUCCUUGUCGGGUAAGUUCCGACCCGCACGAAAGGCGUAACGAUCUGGGCACUGUCUCGGAGAGAGGCUCGGUGAAAUAGACAUGUCUGUGAAGAUGCGGACUACCUGCACCUGGAAAGAAAGACCCUAUGAAGCUGUACUGUUCCCUGGGAUUGGCUUUGGGCCUUUCCUGCGCAGCUUAGGUGGAAGGCGAAGAAGGCCCCCUUCCGGGGGGGCCCGAGCCAUCAGUGAGAUACCACUCUGGAAGAGCUCGGAUUCUAACCUUGUGUCAGACCCGCGGGCCAAGGGACAGUCUCAGGUAGACAGUUUCUAUGGGGCGUAGGCCUCCCAAAAGGUAACGGAGGCGUGCAAAGGUUUCCUCGGGCCAGACGGACAUUGGUCCUCGAGUGCAAAGGCAGAAGGGAGCUUGACUGCAAGACUCACCCGUCGAGCAGAGACGAAAGUCGGCCUUAGUGAUCCGAUGGUGCAUAUUAUCAUAUAGAAACCCAGCAAAGUCUACCAUUGCUGGGUAGCUGGCCAGCUAAUUGGAUUUGAAAGUUGGGAUCAACUUAACCCGCACAAGUGGCUCGGUAGCAGGAAUCUCUGUCUGUGGUUGCUACUGAAUCGUUCCGAGUAGUAUUCAUAGUUGCCUCUAAACAAAUAUAUGACCUAUUUAUUUGAGGCUGCUCGAUUGGCCGCCUUAACUAGUUGAUUUCUCCACGCCUUCGAUCAGGCCCUAUUUAAACCGCUACAUAAAAUUUGUCCACUCUUGCAAAUCAUGAGAGUAUUUUUUAGAAGAACAAGGCGUCGCCCCGGUUCCAUUAACAAUGUAAAAUCCCGAGAACUCCCAUCAGUAGGGUUAUGGCAAUGCCACUGCACGACCUGAGUUCAACGAUGGCUGCCGCCGCGUUAUGUAUAUACUCCACUUGGAUAGGAAAACAUCGCCUCACCCGCCGAGAUGCUGCCUGCUAUCACCUUUCUCUUCCUCACCUUGCAGAUCCGGCCUUGAAAUUAACCAGGGGAAUUAUAUUAUUGUCGUUAUCAUAGGAGAUCCUUGCAUGGUCACCGGAAACAAGCCACAGCUAAUCACCAUACUUAACGAAACCCAGAUUAUACUAUAUUACCGUCGUCAUAAUAGGAGAUCCUUGCAUGCCAUGGGGGACAAGCACCAGCUAAUCACUACACUUAAUUAACUACCUAUGGAACUCGUAGUGCCAGCAGGCAAAACUGUGCUAUAUGGCAAUGAACAUACGUCACCCAGCCGGCCUCGAGAUCUGGACACGCACGUCCUUAACUGCGCAGGUGAGCCACCAUGCUUCGCAGGUCAUGCCCGAUGCGCAUCACGGUUCUCAUUGCUAAGGAACACAUCAUCCAUGUCUUGUGUCUGUCGCCAAGGCCAUGUGGCCAACGGCCAAUUGUACAACAUGGAGUAUAGUAAUAUCCUUUUUUAUAAGUACAGUAAUAGCUACACUUCACUAUGUUCUCUGCGCACGUUUAAAGACAUACUAGGGAGUAUUUGACAAUUUUUUGUCGCGAUCGGAUUUUUGCCUGCACCAAAGGAUUAUUUUUCACGCUGCGUUGCUUGUUCUUGAAAAAGAAAAAGAAAUUUUCAUGCUAUGAAAACCCCAUAUUAGUCCUAUAAUAAGGGCACUCAACUUCUUACUUCCUCCAUUCCCAUGAAUAAGGUGUGACGAGAUUUCGAGAUUUAAUUUUGACCAUGAAUUAGACCAAUAGUAUCUAAUUUAUGUAGCUUCUGGUUAUACCAUUGAAAAGUUUUUUCUAAUUCAACGGUAACCUUGUUGCACAUAACCCAGAUUUCAUUCGCUAAAAUGGUGAAAUUUGAUUUUUGACAUGCCCCUAAUUCCCUGAAAUUGAGGAAGUAUUGACACAUUUCAGUCAAUUAACAGACACAUUAUUAGUAAUGCUCCAGGAGGAUGUAAGUUAGAUGUCACCCUAUAAGAUUCGCCUCGUGGCAUGAGCAAAAUCCCAAUUGGAAAUAAAGAAGAUGUUCAACAGUUGAAGAACCAACAUUUUGAGAACCAACCAGUGCCACACCACGGAUCAAACCCCAAGUUUAACACCAUGUGUGUCUUAUUGACGGGGAUACUCUUUUGGUGGGAGGCUACGUUCACCCCAAUAGCGAGGUGUCUGUGGUGUCUUCAUCAAUCUCCAGAUCUACCGGAUCGGUCGCUCGUUCAUAGGGAUUAUUGUAUUUGCAUUUAUGUGAGUGUCUGUGUUUCCCAUUAUCUGAAGAGCAAAUCAAUCUACCGGCAUUUUUGUGAGAGUUCGAUAAAUCCUUAUUUUUGACGAAAAUGUAGAUCCUAAUUAAAGAAAAGGUUUUUGUAGGGUUUCAUUGAAGCCACGGAAAUAUAACUUUGGUGGAACACACUAAUUUAGUUAUUGGUUACAGCCUGUUCUUAGGCUUUAUUUUCUGAAUCUCGAUCAGAAACCUGAUAUUUUGCUCAGGUGACCGAUCUGAAAUCACAAAAAAGAAAUGGAGAAAAAACAGAGGCCAGAAACAGAGAGCAGAUCUCAGCAGGCAAUGCAAUGCCACUUGCCUAGUCUGACAGAUAGCUGAAAACCACACGUCGCGUUUCACUGUCAGGCCACAUUACGGCUCGACUGAUAGUACUACUACUUGAGAUGUAGUAUAUGAGCUUAGGAUAAAUUAUGCGCUUAAAUUAGUGCCUCAGAGCACCCCUACGUGCACGCCCUCUGCAGCACAGCUAAUCUUGUCCACGAUCAAGCAGAAGAAAACAACGGAGGCAGACCUCUCACCACAUAGGUUAUGCCGCGCCAUGCAUGCGAUAUUGCGAUGUGAGCACAUGAUUCGUUAAUGGCGACUGUCAUGUCCAUCAAGCAUGGUACGUCUCUUGACUAUGUAGCAGUGCCAGUACCCCUCUUUGGGCAAAUUUGACAAUUUUGACCUGGAAACGAAAUAAAUUCACAGAAUGAACUGGGUGCGAAACUAUUUCACACCCCUAACCCUUUUGUGUAGCGCCCGCCACGCCGGCGCCACACCCUACGGUGCAGCGCCUAGCUCCGGGGCGUUGCACCUCUGUCCACCGUGGCAGCCCACGGGCCCGCACCCAGCAGUGCAACGCCUCCGAGCUAGGCGCUGCACCUGUAAUGUGCAGCGCCUAGCCGCUAGGCGCUACACGUGUAAUGUGCAGCGCCUAGCCGCUAGGCGCUGCACUGUGACUUAUNNNNNNNNNNNNNNNNNNNNNNNNNNNNNNNNNNNNNNNNNNNNNNNNNNNNNNNNNNNNNNNNNNNNNNNNNNNNNNNNNNNNNNNNNNNNNNNNNNNNNNNNNNNNNNNNNNNNNNNNNNNNNNNNNNNNNNNNNNNNNNNNNNNNNNNNNNNNNNNNNNNNNNNNNNNNNNNNNNNNNNNNNNNNNNNNNNNNNNNNNNNNNNNNNNNNNNNNNNNNNNNNNNNNNNNNNNNNNNNNNNNNNNNNNNNNNNNNNNNNNNNNNNNNNNNNNNNNNNNNNNNNNNNNNNNNNNNNNNNNNNNNNNNNNNNNNNNNNNNNNNNNNNNNNNNNNNNNNNNNNNNNNNNNNNNNNNNNNNNNNNNNNNNNNNNNNNNNNNNNNNNNNNNNNNNNNNNNNNNNNNNNNNNNNNNNNNNNNNNNNNNNNNNNNNNNNNNNNNNNNNNNNNNNNNNNNNNNNNNNNNNNNNNNNNNNNNNNNNNNNNNNNNNNNNNNNNNNNNNNNNNNNNNNNNNNNNNNNNNNNNNNNNNNNNCCCCCUCUCCCACUCUCCCCCCCUCUCAAAUCUUCUUCCAAAUCUUGCAAAUUUGAAGAAUUUGUCCAUGGAUUUCGAAGUCAAACACUCCCUCAAGGUAAUAAUCGCCGAUCCCCUUUUUUUGAUCGAAGUAAAGUUCUCCCAUUGCUCAUUUGUUGGUAGUUAGGGGAAACCCUAGUUUUGUUUGGAUCUAGAGAUUUGCAUGGAGAUGUGAGAUGUUUGUUUGCCAAUAUCUAUGAUUAGGCUUUGUUAGUAUGCUAGGGAUAUUCUUAUGGGUGUUCUUAUGUUGGUGCUAGGGUUAGGUUUAGGGCUAGGGUUAUGGUUAGGGUUAUGGUUAUGGUUAGGGUUAGGGUUAUGGUUAGGGUUAGGGUUGUUGUUUCAUAUAUAUAUUAGGGUUUGUAAUCGGUGUUAAUCCAUGGAUUAGUACUCAUGGAAGCAAUGUUACCUUGUGUUCAUUGCUUAUAGGGAUGGGAAGAACAUGUGUGUUUGUUCAUCAUGGGGACAAAGACGCCUUUUUGAAAGGCAAUAAAGAACCGGACCCGGAUGAGUUUGACAUGGUGUUUGAUAGUAGUCCUAGCUAUGCGGAGCUCUUGCAACAAGUUAGGAAAGAUUUGAAUUGGAUGGACCCUAGUGAUAUCAUUGAGUUGGAGGGAAGGCAUAAUGUUGGUUUAGGAAUGCACAUCCGUUGGAAGACAAUGCGUGUAAACUCGGAGCAACGUUGGGUUGCAUACAAGGAGACGGUGGCCGAAUCACUAGACAAGGCUCUUGAGUUAUUUGCAACGAAGAAGGUUGAUUCAAGUUUGCAUUUGGACUUGAACCGGAACCCCUCCCCUUUGGUUGCUAGUAGCCCCCCAUCCUUGAAGCGAGAUGAAAUUGUUGAACCUCUUUUGACCCAAGAAGUGAGGCCAACAUUGAGCCCGUAUAGAAACAACCAAGAUGAAUCUGUGCAAGAGGACAAUGAUGAGUAUGCGGACGAUGACAAUGAAGUUGAUCUCCAUGAAAACAAUGUGGGUGAUCUCGACAAAUAUCAUUUGCAAGAGACAAUGGACCAUUCCAUCCCUUUUUCCCGUGCAUAUGCAUCGGACUCGGAUGACGAUGGUCCCGAUGAACAAGUUGAUGCGGAGGGGUUCACGGUGAAGGAGGCCGAAGCUUUCGAGAAGGUAUUUGGUCGGGAUCAUCGGACUACAUUGUUCAAGGAUGUUAGUCUCGCGGAUGAAGCCGUGGUAAAUGGUGGCCAAUGUGUACCUCUUGGGGUUAGGCCAAGCUCUCACCGUGAUUUGGUAGACGACAAGAACCGGAUUGCUAAAGGUUCUAGUUCGACAGCUUGUUGGAUUUGAAGAUGUGGCUCGACAACUACUCGGUUACGCAUUACCGUCCACACAAGGUGGUGCACUCGGACGUCAAUGUGCGCUACAUGGUUGCAUGUGCAUGUGAAGAUGAAAAGGAGGUCCAACUUGGACUUACAAGAGGCCGUGGUGGUGGUAGAGGUCGUGGAAAGGAGGUCCAACAAGGAGUGGCAAGACGCCGUGGCGGUUGUCCGUGGAUUGUGCGUGCAAGACCAUGGAAAGGAGGUCCUACUUGGCAUGUAGUGAGUUGUGUGCCAACUCACAUGUGCCAAGGCAAAAGGGUGGAUGGCAAGAUUGUGUCCGAAGACCACAAACAACUCACGUCCGAGUUCAUCGCUUACAGGCUCUCCAACUCAAUAUCCACACUUCCAACAAUGAGCGUCCAACAUGUCAUUGACCUUGUGAAAGCCAUCUUUCAUUACAAGGUGAAAUACGGCAAGGCAUGGAAGGCGAAGCAAGCCGCAUUUAAGAUGUUGUAUGGUACAUGGGAGGAAGCAUACAACCGAAUCCCUAGGUUGUUGUUAGCCAUGGCCGCGACAAACCCGGGCAUGGUUCAUGUGGUCGAGCCUCAUGGGCACCAAACAACGGUUCAUGAAGGAAGGAAAGUAAGAGUAUUUGGCCGUGCUUUUUGGGCGUUCGAGCAAUGUGUGAGGGCUUUCGAACAUUGUAGGCCGGUCAUCGCAAUUGAUGGCACGUUCUUGACCGGACAAUACAAGGGCACCUUGUUGGUUGCGAUAGCAAGUGAUGCCAAUAACCGGGUGUUGCCAUUGGCAUUUGCUUUGGUUGAGGUGGAAAACAAUGACAACUGGGAGUGGUUUCUGCAUCUUUUGAGGACGAAGGUGUUACCCGCUCAAAGGGAAAUUUGUGUCAUAUCGGAUCGGAAUCAAGGAAUUCUUAACGCCGUGGAGAUUGACAUUCCCGGGCAUGCUCCGUUGCACCAUCGCUGGUGCAUGAGGCACUUUUGUUCGAACUUCUAUAGGGCAUGUGGCCUUAAGGAGUUGGCCGAUGAUCUUCAAGAUUGUUGUCUCGCUUUCUCCGAUAAGCGCUUCGCCACUUUGUACAACAAAUUGCUCGCACACAAAAAACUUGAUCCCGGGGGUCAAGAGUUUCUCAAUAGGCACAUUCAAUACCGGAACAAGUGGGCACGUGCUUUUGAUGAAGAUGGCCGGAGAUACGGUCAAAUGACAAGCAAUAUGGCCGAAUGCUUCAAUAGGGUGCUCAAAAGUGCACGUGGAUUACCCGUGACGGCAAUAGUUCAAUACACAUUUGACAAGAUGAAUGCGUACUUUGUAAAGUACUCGAUGUAAACCGAUGCACAGAUAGCGGGUGAGAACCCACGGAAGUACAAGUACAAGUUCCCACCCAAAGUUGAUGAAUGGUUGCUAUUUCAAUCACGGAAGGCGGACUCAGAAGAAGCUAUAUUAUAUGACAAUGAAGAGUGGAAGUACGAAGUGAAAGAGCCAGGAGGAACCACAAAUGAUGGCCGGCAACAUGGAGGUCGGGCUUUCAAGGUGUCGUUAACACAAUGUGAUUGCUCUUGCGAGAGGCCAUUGUUGCUUCAUCUCCCAUGCUCACAUUUGUAUGCCGCCGGCCGCGUUAGGAAUGUGGACAUCAAUCACCCACGCACCGUGAGGGAGUCGGAGUUCUCAAUCAUGACGGUCAAGAAAACAUGGGCUCCCCGCUUUUCACCCAUACUUUGACCAAUCACAAUGGCCGGAGUAUCAUGGAGUUCAACUGUGGCCGGAUCCGGAGUUGAAGGUUGUUAAACGGGGUAGACGUAAGACAAAGCGUCUUAGAGGCGACAUGGACGGAUGGGGCCAUGGUGGGCGCCGCGAAGCGGGCAACGACCAAUUCCAAGAGCCUCGUGAGAGCUCCCGUUGUGGGGAGUGCAAAGGUCAUGGCCACAACAAAAGAAAAUGUACCAAACCAAGGAAAAGGUCCAAGAAAAAUGAUGCAAGCACAAGCCAACAUGGAGCUACACAAGGGAGCCAACCAAGUGGUAGCCAACCUAGUGGUAGCCAACCUAGUGGUAGCCAACAAGUGCCAAGCCAACCAGGUGGUAGCCAACAAGUGCCAAGGCAACCAAGUGGUAGCCAACAAGUGCCUAGCCAACCAAGUGUUAGCCAACCUAGUGGUAGCCAACAAGUGCCAAGGCAACCAUGUGGUAGCCAACAAGUGCCUAGCCAACCAAGUGUUAGCCAAAGAGGAUCUAGGCAACAAAGAGGUCGGCAACUUGGACUUACAAGAGGCCGUGGUGGUGGUAGAGGUGGUGGUGGUGGUCUCGGCCGUGGUGGUGGAAGAGCUCGACGUGGUGGUAAUGGCCGUGGUGAUGGUCUCGGCCUUGGCGAUGGUCUUGGCCUUGGUGGUGGACUUGGCCGUGGUGAUGGACAACCGCAAGUUCGUUAUUGAGGAAUGUUUGGAUACCUAGAUGGACCGUUUCCGUAUGUUCCUCACUAACUAUAAUGUAUCAUAUGUUAUUGUUUUUUCAUAUGUUCUUCUUUUUCAUAUGUGCUUCCAUUUGUUCUUAUUGUCCUUACUAACCAUUAUGUUCCACUCAUUGUAGGUAUGGCGGCUUCCCAACCCAACAAACCAACGAUGAAGGAGGAUGGCGAAGAUGAGAUGGCCGGAUGGUGGGAGAAGGCUGCGAAGAAGCUUAGAGAGGAGGAUGCAGCCAAGCUAAAGAAGAAGAAGGAAGAGGAGCUUGAGAAGGAGAGGAAGCGAAAACAGAGUGCGGCAAAUGCGAUGCGCGCUAGGGAGCAAGCGUUGAUGAGGAAAGUUGAGGAGGCACAGAAGAAGCGUCAACAGGAUUUUGAAGAAAAAACCAUGAAGCUUUGGGCAAUUGCAGCUGAAAAAGAAAGGAGGGACAAUCAGAUAUUCAUGGAGAGGGUGGUUAAGGAGGCUCACCUCAUAAGAAAAAGGGAGGAGGAAGAGGAAGAAGAGAGGAAGAAGAAGAAGGGAAAGGGGCCUUGCUCUACGCAAUAGAGCUAUGUCUCCUCUUCGAUUUGGUUGUGAACUAAUAUGUCUCCAAUGUGAUUUGGUUGUGAACUACUAUGUGCCGUGCACUACUAUGUCUCCUCCUUGAUUUGGUUGUGUGAACUACUAUGUGCGGUGAACUACUAUGUCUCCUCCUUGAUUUGGUUGCAAGAACUACUAUGUGUCGUGAAGUACUAUGUGUUAUGAACUACUAUGUGUCGUGAAGUACUUGGGCGUUGCUAUCUACCAUGUGGCGCCUAGCUGCUGUGGCUCUCUGGAUAGCUAAAAAAUUCACUAAGUCCAAGUCCAAGUGCCUCAAACUGUAAAGUACCUUCUGUUCUGGCUGCAUAGCUACAGACCAGUGCAGCGCCUAGUUAGGAGGCGCCAUACUGUACAGUGCAGCGCCUGGGGGCUAGGCGCUGCACUGUAUAGUGUGGCGCCUCCGUGCUAGGCGCUGCACAAACACUUAGCGAAUUUUUUGCCUGAAACUGGAGGCAUACCUUCUGUUGCUUGCUGGAUAUCUACAGACAUGUGCAGCGCCUAGCACGGAGGCGCCACACUCUAUAGUGCAGCGCCUGCGAGCUAGGCGUUGCACUGUAGAGUGCGGCGCCUCCAAGCUAGGCGCUGCACAUGUCUGUAGCUAUCCAGAAAGCAACAGAAGUUUGGCUAGUUACAGACAUAUGCAGCGCCUAGCUUGGAGGCGCCACACUCUAUAGUGCANNNNNNNNNNNNNNNNNNNNNNNNNNNNNNNNNNNNNNNNNNNNNNNNNNNNNNNNNNNNNNNNNNNNNNNNNNNNNNNNNNNNNNNNNNNNNNNNNNNNNNNNNNNNNNNNNNNNNNNNNNNNNNNNNNNNNNNNNNNNNNNNNNNNNNNNNNNNNNNNNNNNNNNNNNNNNNNNNNNNNNNNNNNNNNNNNNNNNNNNNNNNNNNNNNNNNNNNNNNNNNNNNNNNNNNNNNNNNNNNNNNNNNNNNNNNNNNNNNNNNNNNNNNNNNNNNNNNNNNNNNNNNNNNNNCGCCUGCGAGCUAGGCGUUGCACUGUAGAGUGCGGCGCCUCCAAGCUAGGCGCUGCACAUGUCUGUAGCUAUCCAGAAAGCAACAGAAGUUUGGCUAGUUACAGACAUAUGCAGCGCCUAGCGCGGAGGCGCCACACUCUACAGUGCAACGCCUAGCGCGCAGGCGUUGCACUGUAGUGUGUGGCGCCUGCGUGCUAGGCGCUGCACAAACACUUAGCAAUUUUUUGCCUGAAACUUGAGGCCUACCUACUGUGCCUCCUCCCCCCUCUACUGGGUCUUUUUCAGCCACAUUUCAACAACUAGUAUAACAAACAUUCAGGUACGACAUCAUUUCUCCAAGUAUAAAAAUUAGUAUAAGAAACAAAGGGUUCACAAAAGAUAUCAUUUCAUAGAAAGCACUAUCACAAUAAGUUCCAGUUUACCAUAGAGCUACCACCACUCCAAGUUCAACGACAUAAAAGGUACGACCACUCCAAGUUCAACGACAUAACAAAUCGCACUCGAAGUUCAACAUUAUAAAAAAACUAAGAUGACUAGUGCUUUCCACGCUUGCUGGGUCCUCCCCCCCUCUUGACGCUUAUCUUCUUCACCUUCCUAGGAAGAGGAACCCGCUCCGGCUCCGGCUCCGCCUCCGGUUCGACAUCGUCAUCCAAAUAGUCAUCCAAAGCCGCCAUCCGCGAGGUGCCGACAGUCCUUUUGCCUCUUUGGGUGAAGUCUUCAGGUGUGCACUUGUUGAUUCCCCUCCUAGGCUUCAACUCGUAUGCAGACCGAGCCCGGUACGUCCCCAAGGUCAUAUCAUCAGCAACCUAUGCAUCAACAAAAGAUAUGGAAAGACCGUGUGUGAGGAUAUAGUUAGCAAUGCAUCAACAAAUGGAUAUAUCGUCAUGCCAUACCUCUUGGGUGACCCCACCCACAUCCUCAUCCUCGAAAGGUUCACCAUGGCUCUGCCCCGAAGCGGGAUCUGAUGGUGUCGCCGACCUAAACCGUUCUGGUGAUACAUACUCGGGGUCAUGACAACCGAAAAGGUUUGAUAGCCGCCUUAACUUUUGGCCCUGGCGCUGCAACAUGUACAAGUGAAUGAGACAUUGACCGUACCAAUAAAUGUUAAGUGCUAGUUUGAAGGAGAUGUGAACCUUAAUGAAUUCUCGAAGUGCACCUUCCCCAUCGCUUUUGCCAGCCGGGGUUGUUUCCAGAAUAGUCUCGGACUCGUCAGCUGCUUUCUUGAUCUGGGCACGCUAUGAACAGAAACGGUAUCAAAGUGUUAGGCAAGCGAAGAUGUGAAAAGUGCGAAUGGAAAAGCAAAAAGGGCUAACCACAAAGUUCAUCAUUGGAGCUGAAGGGAUCACCGAGUUGCCUUUCCUGACUAACGCGUUGUACUGGUGCUAGGCUACCUCAUCAAAAACGAUGGGUUCUUCCAGAAUCUCCUCAGCAUACGCCGGCUGGCAUACCUCCACGCGGGUACUUGCAAGAAACCAUGCGAGAUAGUUGUUGAACGCGAUCGGGCAGUGCUCACGAAGCUGGGCUCGUUUUCCAGCCCUUGCUUGCUCCACACUAAGAGCGAACUGCACGACAUACUUCCUGUGAUGGCUGGCCCAAUCCUUGAUCUUCCGCUGCUUCUUCCUAUCCAACCUGCAAGUUAGAAACAGAAUAUUAGCAUCAUCGAAACCGUCGAGAAGCUGCUAAGUGCUCAAGGUUAAUUAUAUCUUACGCGUGUAGCAACUUGUCCGUGUCCUCCCACUCCGGCGGGUGUGGCUGGAACAAACCAAACUGGCGGAACACCCGAUGUGGCAGGUGAAGCUCAACCGCCCAGUUGCAUAUCAGUGGGCACCGCAUAUGCCAGAGAUCCCUAUCCCUAAUGCACAUCGGAUUAAGCCUGAACUCUAUAGGGUUACCAAAACUCUCUCCUUUUCCAUACGGCUCCCAUUCCAUCUGCAAAAUGGGAUUGAAUGCAAAAUUGAUAUCGAGUGAAGAUACAAGCAUGAUAAUCACUUAUGCAAGGUCGGUUCACCUGCUCAGGCGUGAUCGCGUCCAGCUCGCUCUUGUACAACUUGUACAUUACAGAGGGAUCAUCCGUCGUCUCAUUUAACACAUCCCACUUGUAAGCCCAAGUGGGGAGCCGUAGUGGGUCGUCUUUAUCGUCCCAAUCCUCGUACUUCACGGUCUUAGAUCGUCCAACCGGCAAACGCUCCCAGCUCCAUAUGGAAAGUGCGAGCAGACAACCACCAAUACCUCCAGUGUGCCUACAACUGGCAUCGUCCAUCUGCACAUAAAAAAGAACAUGGUCAAAUUUGCCACAAGAGCGCAUUGAUAAUGUAUCAAUGAAGUGAAAAGGAAACAACUUCAUACCUGUCGAUACAAGUAAGCUAGUGUCGCCGAACCCCAACUCCAUUUGCUAUCGAAGACGGUCAACGCCUUCAGCCACAUCCAUGGAGCAUUCUUGCCUGUGCCAUCAGCAAACAUUGUCCUCGAUAUCACGUACCACAUGUAGACACGAGCAUAAGUCUUCACCAUGUCCUCAUUAGCAUCAUCGGGGCAAUGAGCGAAGUUCGAUGAUAUCCACGUGAAAGUAGCGCCCGCUGCGACUCUUUCCUUCUUCUUAUCUUCCCUUUCUGGCUCCCGAGGCUCCGGAGGAACCAUACCGAUAAGUGCUUGCAUCUGCGCGCGCCACCCUUCAGAAUCGGUGUUCAUACAUAAAGGAUUGCCAUCGAUAGGAAGACCGGUGAUCAUAGCGAUAUCCUGCAGCGUCACGGUCAUCUCCCCGGUCCGAAGAUGGAAAGUGUGUGUCUCCGGCCUCCAAUGAUCAAUAAGCGCGGUGAGUGCUGCAGCAUUGUUGGGUGGCGUCGACCGGCGGACCAACUCAAUGAAAGGGAGAAGUCCUGCCUCCCUAACAUAAGGUGUGUACCUCUCAUCAUAGCUCAUCCCUCCAAGGCUGAUCCCGUGAGACCGAAGCUUCAGAGGUGCAAGCUCCUACAAACAAACAAAUCAUAACAUUACAUAUGGGGCAUUUGUGUUUGAAAAAACAUACGAAAUUCAUAACACCGGCCACUUUCAGUAUUACCCGCUGCUGCACCGACAUAGCGUACGACCGGUGUUGAUGGUCCCAGUGAUCAUCGAGAAGCCAAACCAUCCUAACAAUUUCAACAAAGCAUUCUUGUCAACACGAUUAUCUUUUCAAUUCAAAAAAACUAAAGUAGGCCUACUACAUGCAAGAUCCAAAGCAUAUGGUGCUUCCCCCUAAAAACAUGUCAAUCUAUGUAUCCAAACUAUAACAUGUCAAUCUACUUCUCCAUACAAAUAACAUGUCAAUCUACUUCUCCAUACAAAAAACAUGUCAAUCUAUGUAUCCAAACUAUAUAAAUAACAUGUCAACCUAUCUAUCCAAACCACAUUCUAAUCUAACAAGGGUUUCCCAAAUCUAAUAUAUGCAAGAUUCAAACAAAGGUUGCCCAAAUCUAAUACAUGCAAAAUUCAAACAAGGGUUCCCCAAAUCUUCAAAAUAUAAUAUUUUCUAUGGAUAGAAAGAAGGGGAUCGGAGGAGAGUACCUUCUAUGAUGGAUUGGUGAACAAAUGCACGGACCAAAUCGUCGGAUCGGAAGGAUUUGGGAGAGGGGAUUGAGAGGGGGAGUGCAGAUGGCCGCCGCCCUUUUUUCUGUAACUGCCAAUGGGGAGGGUGGGGGAGGAGAGGGCUGGCGCGUUUGCAUAUAAGUCACAGUGCAGCGCCUAGCCGCUAGGCGCUGCACAUUACACGUGCAACGCCUAGCGGCUAGGCGCUGCACAUUACAGGUGCAGCUCCUAGCUCGGAGGCGUUGCACUGCUGGGUGCGGGCCCGUGGGCUGCCACGGUGGACAGUGGUGCAACGCCCCGGAGCUAGGCGCUGCACCGUAGGAUGUGGCGCCGGCGUGGCGGGCGCUACACAAAAGGGUCAGGGGAGUGAAAUAGUUUCGCAACCAGUUCAUUCCGUGAUUUGAUUUCGAUUAUAGGUCAAAAUUGUCAAAUUUUCCCCCUCUUUGCAGCAAUGGAUAGAUCGAUGCGUAGUACUACAACCUUUGCUGCUCGAUCCGCCCGAUCGACCGGCCACCGUCCAUGCGUGUCACGGCCGGCGAGAUACCAGCAUGAACUACCCGAGCCACGAAGACAUGCAUGCCAUGCCUGACCGCCGACCACUGUGAUCGCCCGGCGCCGGCAACGACAACCACACCCAAACCAACUUUACGUU